rnacentral:pre_miRNA from 15 species
ACCUUAGCAGACCUGUUGCUGGUUGGCCUAAACCCGUAAGGUCUUAACUUGUGCUGGAGUUACAAGUACACAGGUUAUGCCCUUUGGGUAGUAGGCCGGACAGAAUACUCAUCGGCGAUAAAA